rnacentral:lncRNA from 1 species
GUGAGACUUGACGUGCCUUUUAAGAGAAGAAAGAUGCGUGAAGACUGUCCUGCACUUGGUGCAUUCAUAUGGUUUUUCUCCAGCAGAAACUUUCUUGUGCAGGAACUGAUGAGAAAGAAAUGAGUUCAUUAAAAACCAAGGGAAGGAAUGAUGCCAUCCUCACCUACUGAGGCCAGGUUCCGGAAGGUCUCCAGCAUCACAUCUCUGUAGAGGUCCCUCUGAGCAGAAUCCAGCAAAGCCCACUCCUCCAGGGUGAAGUCCACAGCCACAUCCUCAAAGACCACUGAGUCCUAAGACAAACCACACAGGUGUGCAGGAGGAUUGGAGACACUGAAAGUACUGGGGAACUGGACUCAAUUCAUAAAUUCAAACAAGAUUCUGUGGUGUCCCAACACCUCCUCUAUGACGCGAAUGUUAGAUCUUUUACUUAUUCACAAUCACUUCCUAGUAAACUUCAUGGCACCACUAUCAGUCUGAACUUAUCUCUGCCUUUUUACUGCGACUGCUCUUAUUUUCCUCUACCAGGAGGGUCUAGAGAAAUGCUAUGCAAAUGAAGUAACUUUUCCAUUUGAAACGUUGCAUAACGCAGCAGGCCUCGGUUGUCCAAACGAUGCACAUUUCAUAGGACUUUCGGAAAAGCCUUCCACCAGCUACUGCAGAAAAUGG